UUUUUUUUUUUCUUUUUCUUUUCCUGCUAUGGAAAUCAGAGAACAAAUCGCUCCUCUAGGUAGGGCUGGAGACUGGAGUUCUCCAUUGUUUACAGGUGAAGGGGCCUAUAGGAGUUUCCUGUAAUGCUGCUUGUUGGUUCUCCAGCUAACUCCCAGCAGUAGGAGGAGGAGGAAAAGGAGGGGAGGAGGAGGAGGGGGAGAGGGAGACUCCCCUGUUGAAGGUGUCGGCCCAAAGUCCUGGGCUGCCCCGGCUGGCCUCACAUUCUCUUUGAGCAUCACUUCUUCACCCUGUCCUCCCACAGCUGGCUGGAAUACAGAGCUAGGCUUGACCACAGAUGAGGGAAACUGAGGCACUCAAAGGGCUGAGAUAACUGUGCACAGUCCCCUGGGCUCUGCCUUGGCACAGGAAAAGUCUCCCUUUUCUGGGGGGUCUCUGUUUCCUUCUGCUCUUCACCUCAUCCUCAGAGCAAAGCUUUCCCUCUUCCUUUCUCCCUUUGCCCCAAGGCUGGGCACCCACUCUGGACUCCUUUGAUUGCUAAAGGAGGAAACUGUCUUUUCUGCUUGGACCCAGGCUCCCCACUUGGACUUGGGGGUGGAAUCAUCUGGACACCCACUUCUCCCAACCUGAUUAACCCAUUUAUGUCCUGCCAUGACGGCUUUCCUUUUCUGUUAUCCCACAUCAAAGUCUGGACACCCCAAGCCCCUACAUUUUGAGCAAUGCAUCUAAAAUUCUCUUAAUUCCCUUGUACCCAUCUCCUCUGUCACCACAGUCCAGCCCAACCCAGAGGGAUGUGCACCGAACCACCACCACAAGCACAGUCCAUGUCUUUCUCUGACUCAUGUUCUUGGAAUGCGUUUGUGUGGAGCAUUUCUCACUAACAAUCUUUUCCCCGGUGUUACACAUUCAUUCUAGUUCUGUCCUGCUCUGUCCAGAGGUGAACCCUGCCAUCUCUCUGAGCCUCGGACACUUUACCUAUACGGCCAGUCUUACAUCCAUCCCUCAUAUGGCACCGUCCAGGGCUGGAAGACACCCCUGCACCUGUGUGUCCCUCUGCCACCCACGUUCACGAGGCAUAUCCUGUGAUGGGUUAUCCCCAGGGGAACAGAGCCAUUAUGCAGAGAGUGAAAAACUCCCAAGCCUCCCUCAAAUAUGAACCCUUGGUUCCCAAGAAAAUCCUAUCCCUGAUUCUCAAGGUGCCAGCCUGUAUCACUGGACCCUGUGCGUCUGCCCCUGAGGAAGCCCCUUCAUCUGUCAGUAGUGGCCGUUAGCCUCACUUUUUGGACUUCGCAGCCUCACAUGCCCACAGACAGCAACCACUAUCUGGAUUAUCUGUAGCCAAGAGGCACAUCAGAAAUACAGAGGGAAAAUACCAAAACCUUAAGAAAAGUAUAAUAGUAAUUAAACAAGGUUUGAUGCCUUGAGAGUUGAAAGCAUAUGUAUGUCACACUAAAGCAGCAACCAAAUUUCUAUCAUAUAAAGACUGUGCUACUGUGUAGAAAGGCAGUGUAGGGAGUUGCUGAUGCUCGAUGCCUGACUCUGGCCCGGAUCCUCAUAAAUCAGUGUUUUUGAUUCCUGUCCCUCCCACUUCCUUAUUAACAAGGAUGACCCGGGAAUGGAGUGCUUCUUCAGUGGGCAUCUAUUGUUUUGGCCUGCCCAGCAUCCAUCCCCCAUUCCUCUGGUAUUAGCACCAUGAUUUAUUUUCAUUUGGAAAAAAAAUCACCCCUUUCCUAUUGUCCGUUCUUGUAGCUCGGGUGGGGCUGACCCCUUUCCUGGCUCCAGGGCUGGGCAGUGACCCAGUUCUUAGCAAUUGACUCAAGUGUUUAUAAUGACCUAAUAAGCUAAGAGUCAAUCUCAGGAUUUAUUUUUUUUUUUUCCUUUGGUACUGGCAAGGAAGAAAUACUUUCAUGCUUUAUUAGGGUUACUGAAAGGGUAAGCUUUGCAGGCCUAGAGCAUCGAGAAGCCAUCUUGCCACAGGGAGGAA
rnacentral:lncRNA from 1 species